UCCCAAGUCUGUACCAUCUAAUACCUCUCCUAAGGAGGAGUAGGUAUGAACGCUUGACGAGGGUCGAAGACCCUGAGAUAAGGGAAGUGUCCCGAACCGACUACUUCAAAAGAGUCUUGGGUGCCGCGGCGGCGGCCACCACGGUUGCAGGGCAUCGAAUUGAUUCCAAAGUAACGUUGCGCCUAGCUUGGCGCGAGGCCCUUUACGCUUCAGCUGACGGGCGGGGUCUCUCCCAAUGCCCGUUGGUACCCGAGGUUCACUCCUGGGUUACCGAUGUUUCCGGUCUUCAGACCGGAUCGCAGUACAUCUCUGCUGUUCGCUUAAGGGGGGCCUUGCUUCCCACGGCGGUAAGGAAAUCGAGGGGUCGCGGGGGUGUUAACUCGAAUUGCGACUGUUGCGGUCGUGGACAACCAGAGUUUCUUGGGCACGUUCUCCAGACGUGUCCUCGGACCUGGGGGUCUCGCAUCAGUCGUCACAACCACGUCCUCUCCCUUAUCGCUAAAGCGUGCCGUUCGCGAAGAUGGCAGGUGCUGGAAGAGCCGAUCAUCCAGACUCCUGCGCAGUUGCUCAAGCCAGACUUGGUGAUCUGGAACCAUCAAGCGGCGUACGUCGUUGACGUUAGCGUACCGGGUGAUAACACCCCGCUCAGUACGUGUCACAACAGGAAAGUCGCAUAUUACUCUGGUGAGAGCGUUCGUGAAUGGGUGCGUUCCAAGACUGGGCAUAAUCCUACAGUGUCCUCUGUAGUGAUUAACUGGCGCGGUGCCAUGGCAAAGGAGUCCUACCGCCUUUUGACGAAAGACCUUCGUCUAGCGAAGACCCUGCCUCGUCUGCUGGUACUAAGAGUUCUGGAAGGCGGCCAUGGAAUCUGGCUCAAUUUCCAUCGGUCGACCUUCGCCGUGGGAGUAACUUGAUGGUGGGUUACUCGCCUCUGUGUAACAGGCAAAUGAAAGCUGCGCAAGCAGUCGAUGAGCCAAAGCCGCACAGCCCCCGACUGGGGUACAGGGCAGCCCUGGGCUAUGCCCGAAGUCUUUUGACAGGUCCAAACUUCACCCUUGCCGCCAGUAGGGCACCAGGGCCAGGUGCAGGUGGGCGCUUUGUUCUAUUUGGUUUCGCUUAAUUUUUGUUAAAUUUUUCCCGUGCGCCCACCCUUUUUAACCUUUUAACACCAAUUUUUAAAACCCUCUACUCAAUAAUCCAAAUGAUUAAAAGCGGCAUAACAGGUGAACACAAGGUAGCCAAAUGCCUCGUCAUCUAAUUAGUGACGCGCAUGAAUGGAUUAACGAGAUUCCCACUGUCCCUAUCUACUAUCUAGCGAAACCACAGCCAAGGGAACGGGCUUGGCAAAAUCAGCGGGGAAAGAAGACCCUGUUGAGCUUGACUCUAGUCUGACUCUGUGAAAAGACAUGAGAGGUGUAGAAUAAGUGGGAGUAGCAAUACGUCGGUGAAAUACCACUACUCUUAUCGUUUUUUUACUUAUUCGAUGAAGCGGAAGCGAACCGCAAGGUUCACGUUCUGGAUUUAAGGUCUCUCUUUUGCAGACCGAUCCGUGUCGAAGACACUGUCAGGUUGGGAGUUUGGCUGGGGCGGCACAUCUGUCAAACGAUAACGCAGGUGUCCUAAGGUGAGCUCAAUGAGAACAGAAAUCUUAUGUAGAACAAAAGGGUAAAAGCUCACUUGAUUUUGAUUUUCAGUAUGAAUACAAACUGUGAAAGCAUGGCCUAUCGAC
rnacentral:ncRNA from 1 species